rnacentral:ncRNA from 1 species
UACCUGGUUGUUAUGAACUGGUGGUUGAAAUUAAUAAACUGGGAGGGACAUAGUCUUGUUAUAUGUCAAGUAUAUGCCCGCAAGGCGAGCCACUGCCUGUCCCAGCCCCUGCCUCUCGGCGCCCCCUCGAUGCUCUUAGCUGAGUGUCCCACGGGGCCCGAAGCAUUUACUUUGAGAAAAUUAGAGUGUUCAAAGCAGGCCGGCCACCGGCAUACUGCAGCUAGGAAUAAUGGAAUAAGACUCCGGUUCUAUUUUGUUGGUUUUCGGAAACGGGGCUGUUGUAUAUUAGGAAAAAUUUCUUCACAGAAAGGUUUGUCAGGCAU